GUACAAAUGUCAAUGUCAAAAAUAUCACACCAAAACCAACCAAAACACUGAAGUGUGGUCUUUUACCUGUUGUAAAAUAUAUAUAUUUAAGAUUUAAGUAAAAAUUUUUCUAUAAUGUCUUUAUUAGUACGUACCGACGUAACUGCUGUAAAGUUUUACAAGAAAUUCUUGUUAGCCGGUAUUGGAAACACUGUAAAUAUAUUUGACAAGGAAUCUACGCAGUUAUUACAGUGUUUAGUGGGUUUAAACGGUCAGAAAAUAUAUGGAUUUGUACCUUCGGAAUGUGGUACAAAUAUACUUGUGUUUGGUGGAAAACAGUUUACUGUAAUUACGUUAGUGAACUCUGAAGGUUCUAAUGAGGGUUCUGAACUAUUUUAUAGAGUAUUUAAGCCUUUAGUAUGUGAUGAUUGGCUGCAUUCUGCAGUUUGGGUGACUGAUGAUGUUGUGGCAUUGUUAACAGCGCACAAUGUGGUUCAGAAAUGGAACAUACUCAGUCAAACACUGAUAUCACAGCAGCCAAGCCACAAUAACUCCAUACUAUACAGUGGACUGCUGUUGGCAUUGAAAGAUGAUGUCCUGGUGAUGGCAGGGACGGUCUUCUCCGAAGUCAUCAUACACAGAGCUAGUAAGGAUGAGGCCUUACACCAUUUGAAAGGACAUAAGGGUGUAAUAUUCUCGAUAUCAUAUGAAUCACAUAGAAACACGAUAGUUACCACAUCAGAUGACAGGUCUGUAAGGAUAUGGGGUCCCAAUGUACCACCAGCACAUGCACACAAUACAGUGACAUACUGGGAAGGUAUAGAAAUAGUUUGUAAACAUGACGUCUACGGACAUUUAGCGAGAGUCAUGAGGAGUUGCAUAACACAUAAUCUAAUAGUGUCCGUAGGUGAAGACUCGGCCAUAUGUUACUGGGAUUAUGAUGGUAAAUUAUUAAAAAAGGCCCUCACACAUCAAAACGGAUGUAUAUGGUCUGUCGACAGUGAUGGUACCAGUUUAGUUACUGGUGGUGGGGACAGCGGAGUCAUUUUACAUCCCCUGACCAUAGCUACAGAUUACUGCCAAGAAAAUAUCAUUGAUGUAGGUGUAGCCACUCCCAAAAAGGUUUUGUUCACCGCCAGAAACAACUUAGUUAUUAUGGAUGAGGCUAAUUUAAUUUACUACGACGUUGUUAAUAAAAAUAAAACUGAACAUAAAUUAAAUCAUGAAUCUACUUACAAAUUGCUAGCUUUAUCGUCCUGUAAGCAACUGAUUGCUGUAGCAGAUAUGGCAGGCAAGCUGGAUGUGUUCAUAGAAAAAUGUAAGGAUGAGGCUUUUUUACUAAAUAUUGUUCAUACUAAAUUGCAAAUAGGAAAGAUUUUGUCCAUGCAAUGGGCGGGAAAUAGGCAUCUAGUACUUUGUUCUGGAGAUGGUCAUAUUACUGUAUUAGCUUCUAGUAACGCAAGUGUGGAAGUAUACGCCAAUUUUGUUCUUCCAAACUGCAAAGAAAGAUGGCUCACAGCUUCUGCAAUACAACUGGAGAACAAUAGAUUUAUUGUUGGAGAUAGAUGUGGUAACAUACAUGUUUUUAUCAAAGGCCAGAAUAACCCAGUGAAGACCUUCCAUAAGGUACACGGGAGAUAUGGACCAACAUCCAUUAGUGUUAGAAAUAAUAGAAUUAUUACUACUGGACGAGAUGGGACUAUCAAAUAUUUUAGUAUAAAUGGCGAUGUAGUAAAACAUAUGAGCAGCAAAGAUUUAGCUUUCGAAUGGGUCGAGAAAUUCCUGGAUAAAGAUGAAAAUAUUAUUUGUGGAUUCCAAGAAAGAGUUUUUGUUGUGUACAAUGUUAAUGAGAAUAGUAAAAUGUUAGAAGUGGCGUGUGGAGGUGGACAUAGGUCCUGGGAUGCAGUCAGAUACUUCAAGAAAGUAAAUGAAAAUUACGAAGAAUUCAUAAAACUGAUUUAUUUGAAAAACUCAGAUAUAAAUGUUGUAACAUUCCAACUGAGUAAAAUAGUUUCAAGGAAUGUUAUAAAUGGAUCACAUGCUAAAGAAAUUAAUUGUUUGAAAUCACAUAGAAUUGGUAAUGCCACAAUUUACAUUACUGGUGGAGAAGACACUACGCUAAGAAUAUCCAGUGUUGAUGCAGAAAGGAACUUUAAAGACGAAGUUAACUUUAAACACUUAUCUAGUGUUAGAACAUUAAAAACAUUCUCCAUAGAUGUGAACCAUUUCUUAGUUUUAUCAGCUGGAGGAAGAGCUCAGCUUUGCAUAAAAGAUAUAAAAUUAACUCACAAAGAUAACAAUAUCAAGGUAACAUCAGAAGAAUUAGUAGAUUACUUAAUAAGAGGUACAGAUAAGGAGAGGAAAGGGAAUCAGACAUGGAGGAACUGUUCCAUUGACUUUGACCCUGAAAUGAGAAUCAUGGACAUAGAUGUGAUAAGUGAUAAAGAUGGACUUAUCAUCUUUGCAGGUUGCUCCGAUUCUUAUGUAAGAGUGUUCUCCUUCAAAGAAGAUAGUAAAAAGGUAGAGAUUAUCAAAGAAGCGAAGUAUCACAAAACUUGUGUUUUGAAAACUAAAUGUAUCAAAAUUCUUAACAGAAACAUCCUGAUCACAUGUACGACUAGGAGCGAAGUUACAUUUUGGAAUGUAACAGACAUUACAAAUGACAAUUUUGAACCAUUUUUCAGUACAAAAACUAAUAAAUCAGGUAUAAACAGCAUAGCUACCGUCAAUGUGUCUGAAGAUAAGAUUCUUGUAGCCACUGGGGGCGACGAUAACGCUGUCCACACUAUAAUAGUAGAAAUCAAUGUCCAGGGUAACAUGACAUCUGCAAGAGUACUACAUACUUGGAAAAGUGCAAACAACCACAGCUCACAGAUAACUGGGCUUAUUUUAGUAGAUGACUAUCUAGUUUCUACGUCAAUAGAUCAGAGGAUAACAUUGUUUCGAUGGAAGAUAUAUGAAGAGGGAAUAGAUUGCAAGUUUUUGUCGCAAUCUCAUACAAUGGUCAGCGAUGUUCAAGGGAUGGACCUUCUGGAUCACAAUUGCGAAUCUAUAACAGUAUGUGUGUUUGGAAAAGGGAUGGAAGUCAUAGCUGUUCCUAAGAUCCCAGAGUAACCCUACCUGGAUGAGGAAACCGCCAGGAGCUGAAACUACACGAGAAGGAGUGAUGGAACAGUCAGAUGGCGCCCGAGUUGAAAGCAGUGACAGAUCCAGUGACGCUGGGUGAGGGUCCACACUGGGACCACGAGGAGCAGGCCCUCUACUU